rnacentral:lncRNA from 1 species
AUUAGGUUUGAAAUCAGGUCUUGGUGCAAAUCCAGGCUCUACCACUCACUAGCUCCUAUGACCUUAUGCUACUCAACUGAAUGUCUGCUAGUCUCAGUUUCCUGAUCUUUAAAUGAGAUAAUAAGAGUGCCUACCUUAUUUGAUUGUUGGAAAGAUUAAGUGAAAUAACUUGUCAAGAGUUUAUAGCACAGUGCUUGGCACAAAUAAUGUUUAAUAAAUGCUACUAUUAUCAUCAUUAUCCUUCUCCUCAUUAUUAUUGAUAAAAAGGGAGUCCCAUGUGGAAGGCGGAUAAUAGAUAAGGAUAUAGCCUCCAGUAGCCUCCACUUGCCAGUAGAUAAUGAAAAGACCAGGUGUCUCUCCAGGAUGAUCAGCUAAAUCUUCAUCCAUCUGGAAGAAAGGAGACCCAUUCUGAGUAUUUCACAGUGCACCUUUGGAUCUAUCCUCAUUUUUCUCCUUCCUGCCCAAGGAAGACCCAGUCUAUGGCUCUGACUUCACAGACCUGGUUGUAUACAGGAUCAGAUUUAUUUUUGGCUUGUCACUUUGUAUCUGUGUUCCAGGUCUGUUUCAGAGGUGCCUGAGGUUUUCAGGUAGUGGGGAGAGGAGUGUGAAAAACAAAAUGUGGUCUUGGUCUAGGGUCUUUACUUUCUUCUGGCUACAAGCAAUAAAUCUGCCAUCUGCCAAAGACAUGGGACAACUAGAGGUCAAUGCUACAUAUUAAUUCACCUGUUGGACAUCUAAGAGCAGUUAAUCAGCCCCAGGAAAUAGUUCCAGAUUAAGAAAAGGAGUGAUCUGUGUUGACAGGAACUCUGAAGCAAGGACUUCCA